rnacentral:rRNA from 1 species
CCUACGGGCGGCAGCAGUGGGGAAUAUUGGACAAUGGGGGCAACCCUGAUCCAGCCAUGCCGCGUGUGUGAAGAAGGCCCUCGGGUUGUAAAGCACUUUCAGUGAGGAAGAACGCCUAGUGGUUAAUACCCAUCAGGAAAGACAUCACUCACAGAAGAAGCACCGGCUAACUCCGUGCCAGCAGCCGCGGUAAUACGGAGGGUGCGAGCGUUAAUCGGAAUUACUGGGCGUAAAGCGCGCGUAGGUGGCUUGAUAAGCCGGUUGUGAAAGCCCCGGGCUCAACCUGGGAACGGCAUCCGGAACUGUCAAGCUAGAGUGCAGGAGAGGAAGGUAGAAUUCCCGGUGUAGCGGUGAAAUGCGUAGAGAUCGGGAGGAAUACCAGUGGCGAAGGCGGCCUUCUGGACUGACACUGACACUGAGGUGCGAAAGCGUGGGUAGCAAACAGGAUUAGAUACCCCGGUAGUC